rnacentral:rRNA from 1 species
GACGUAGGGCGCAAGCGUUGUCCGGAUUUAUUGGGCGUAAAGAGCUCGUAGGCGGCUUGUCGCGUCGACUGUGAAAACCCGCGGCUCAACCGUGUGGUCUGCAGUCGAUACGGGCAGGCUAGAGUUCGGUAGGGGAGACUGGAAUUCCUGGUGUAGCGGUGAAAUGCGUAGAUAUCAUUUGGAACGCCAAUGGUGAAAACAGGUAGCUGGGAGUGUGCUGACGCUGAGACACGAAAGCCAGGGGAGCGAACGGGG